AUACGUAGGGUGCGAGCGUUGUCCGGAAUUACUGGGCGUAAAGAGCUCGUAGGUGGUUUGUCGCGUCGUCUGUGAAAUUCCGGGGCUUAACUCCGGGCGUGCAGGCGAUACGGGCAUAACUUGAGUACUGUAGGGGAGACUGGAAUUCCUGGUGUAGCGGUGAAAUGCGCAGAUAUCAGGAGGAACACCGGUGGCGGAGGCGGGUCUCUGGGCAGUAACUGACGCUGAGGAGCGAAAGCAUGGGUAGCGAACAGGAUUAGAUACCCUGGUAGUCCAUGCCGUAAACGGUGGGCGCUAGGUGUAGGGGUCUUCCACGACUUCUGUGCCGUAGCUAACGCAUUAAGCGCCCCGCCUGGGGAGUACGGCCGCAAGGCUAAAACUCAAAGGAAUUGACGGGG
rnacentral:rRNA from 1 species